UACGAAGGGGGCUAGCGUUGCUCGGAAUUACUGGGCGUAAAGCGUACGCAGGCGGAUCUUUAAGUCAGGGGUGAAAUCCCAAGGCUCAACCUUGGAACUGCCUUUGAUACUGGGGAUCUUGAGUCCGGAAGAGGUUGGUGGAACUCCGAGUGUAGAGGUGAAAUUCGUAGAUAUUCGGAAGAACACCGGUGGCGAAAGCGGCGCGCUGGAUCUCUUCUGACGCUGAUGCGCGAAAGCGUGGGGAGCAAACAGG
rnacentral:rRNA from 1 species